rnacentral:lncRNA from 7 species
GUGGGAAUGGACUGACAGUGAGGAAGUGCGCUCGCCGCGGUGGUAGGUCGGUACCCCUAUGUACGGUCCACGGUGUACGCCGGUGUCGUGCCCCAAUAUCCUAAACUAGGGGAUUCGCGACGUCUUUAGGAUAGUGCUCAUGACCUUCUCGGGCAGGAAUAACCUCCAGGGCGACCGGAAUUCCUCAACGAUGUGUGAACACUGCUGUGGUUCCGCCCUGCGUGGUGGGUGGGAGUCCCUGCGGCAUAAUCACUGGUAAGGUCUCCUCCCCCUUGCUCGCCGCAUCCAGAACUAUGUGUAGCACUUCUUGCGUUAUGUAUUUGUGUGCUCGGGUGUGGCGUCGCCCCUCUCCGGUGAGUACACCGCCGUGAUGGCUCGGUGGCGCCACCUUGGGUCAGCCGAUUGGGGAAGAAGCGCCUUGACCGUUGAUCUGUUCGCCAUUGGCUGGGAUUAAAA